AGUCGAGCGAGCGGAACUACAGAUUUACUUCGGUAAUGACGUUAGGAAAGCGAGCGGCGGAUGGGUGAGUAACACGUGGGGAACCUGCCCCAUAGUCUGGGAUACCACUUGGAAACAGGUGCUAAUACCGGAUAAGAAAGCAGAUCGCAUGAUCAGCUUUUAAAAGGCGGCGUAAGCUGUCGCUAUGGGAUGGCCCCGCGGUGCAUUAGCUAGUUGGUAAGGUAAAGGCUUACCAAGGCGAUGAUGCAUAGCCGAGUUGAGAGACUGAUCGGCCACAUUGGGACUGAGACACGGCCCAAACUCCUACGGGAGGCAGCAGUAGGGAAUCUUCCACAAUGGACGCAAGUCUGAUGGAGCAACGCCGCGUGAGUGAAGAAGGUUUUCGGAUCGUAAAGCUCUGUUGUUGGUGAAGAAGGAUAGAGGUAGUAACUGGCCUUUAUUUGACGGUAAUCAACCAGAAAGUCACGGCUAACUACGUGCCAGCAGCCGCGGUAAUACGUAGGUGGCAAGCGUUGUCCGAAUUUAUUGGGCGUAAAGCGAGCGCAGGCGGAAGAAUAAGUCUGAUGUGAAAGCCCUCGGCUUAACCGAGGAACUGCAUCGGAAACUGUUUUUCUUGAGUGCAGAAGAGGAGAGUGGAACUCCAUGUGUAGCGGUGGAAU
rnacentral:rRNA from 1 species